UACGUAGGGUGCAAGCGUUGUCCGGAAUUAUUGGGCGUAAAGAGCUCGUAGGCGGUUCGUCGCGUCGGCUGUGAAAACCUGAGGCUCAACCUCAGGCCUGCAGUCGAUACGGGCGGACUUGAGUACUGCAGGGGAGACUGGAAUUCCUGGUGUAGCGGUGAAAUGCGCAGAUAUCGGGAGGAACACCGGUGGCGAAGGCGGCGACCUGGGUAGAUACUGACGCUGAGGCGCGAAAGCGUGGGGAGCAAACAGG
rnacentral:rRNA from 1 species